rnacentral:rRNA from 1 species
AUUGAACGCUGGCGGCAUGCCUUACACAUGCAAGUCGAACGGUAACGGGCCUUCGGGUGCCGACGAGUGGCGCACGGGUGAGUAAUACAUCGGAACGUGCCCGAUCGUGGGGGAUAACGAGGCGAAAGCUUUGCUAAUACCGCAUACGAUCUACGGAUGAAAGCAGGGGACCGCAAGGCCUUGCGCGGACGGAGCGGCCGAUGGCAGAUUAGGUAGUUGGUGGGAUAAAAGCUUACCAAGCCGACGAUCUGUAGCUGGUCUGAGAGGAUGAUCAGCCACACUGGGACUGAGACACGGCCCAGACUCCUACGGGAGGCAGCAGUGGGGAAUUUUGGACAAUGGGCGCAAGCCUGAUCCAGCCAUGCCGCGUGCAGGAUGAAGGCCUUCGGGUUGUAAACUACUUUUGUACGGAACGAAAAGCCUUCUUUUAAUACAGGAGGGUCAUGACGGUACCGUAAGAAUAAGCACCGGCUAACUACGUG